UACGAAGGGUGCAAGCGUUACUCGGAAUUACUGGGCGUAAAGCGUGCGUAGGUGGUUCGUUAAGUCUGAUGUGAAAGCCCUGGGCUCAACCUGGGAAUGGCAUUGGAUACUGGCGACCUAGAGUGCGGUAGAGGGUAGCGGAAUUCCCGGUGUAGCAGUGAAAUGCGUAGAUAUCGGGAGGAACAUCCGUGGCGAAGGCGGCUACCUGGACCAGCACUGACACUGAGGCACGAAAGCGUGGGGAGCAAACAGG
rnacentral:rRNA from 1 species